CCCUUAGAUGUUCUGGGCAGCACGCGCGCUACAAUGGUCUUCGCAAACGGAUGCAUUCUCGAAGGAGAAUGCCAAUCUUGGAAUCUAUGCCUUGGUCGGGACAGUUGCUUGCAAUUUUUCGACUCGAACCAGGAAUUCCUUGUAAUCGUGAUUCAUCACAUCACGAUGAAUACGUACCUGCCCUUUGUACACACCGCCCGUCGCUCCUACCGAUCGAAGAGUUAGGUGAAUUGUUUUGAUCGAUAAGAUUUGACUAUGGUCAACUCUCGUUGUGAAAUUCUGUGAAUCUGACUGUUUAGAGGAAGGAAAAGUCGUAACA
rnacentral:rRNA from 1 species